rnacentral:rRNA from 1 species
AUUGAACGCUGGCGGCAGGCCUAACACAUGCAGGUCGAGCGGAUGAGAAGAGCUUGCUCUUCGAUUCAGCGGCGGACGGGUGAGUAAUGCCUAGGAAUCUGCCUGGUAGUGGGGGACAACGUUUCGAAAGGAACGCUAAUACCGCAUACGUCCUACGGGAGAAAGCAGGGGACCUUCGGGUCUUGCGCUAUCAGAUGAGCCUAGGUCGGAUUAGCUAGUUGGUGAGGUAAUGGCUCACCAAGGCGACGAUCCGUAACUGGUCUGAGAGGAUGAUCAGUCACACUGGAACUGAGACACGGGCCAGACUCCUACGGGAGGCAGCAGUGGGGAAUAUUGGACAAUGGGCGAAAUGCUGAUCCAGCCAUGCCGCGUGUGUGAAGAAGGUCUUCGGAUUGUAAAGCACUUUAAGUUGGGAGGAAGGGCAGUAAGUUAAUACCUUGCUGUUUUGACGUUACCGACAGAAUAAGCACCGGCUAACUCUGUGCCAGCAGCCGCAGUAAUAC